rnacentral:rRNA from 1 species
GUGAAAUUGUUGAAAGGGAAGCGCUUGCAAUCAGACUUGCUUAUAAUUUGAUCAUCCAUUGUUUUUCACUGGUGCACUCAAUUAUAAUCAGGCCAGCAUCAGUUUAGACGGUUGGAUAAAGGCUCUUGGGAAUGUGGCUCUCUUUGGGGAGUGUUAUAGCCCUAGGUGUAAUGCAAUCUGUUUGGACUGAGGACCGCGCUUCAUGCUAGGAUGCUGGCGUAAUGGUUGUAAGCGACCCGUCUUGAAACACGGACCAAGGAGUCUAACAUCUAUGCGAGUGUUUGGGUGUUAAACCCAUACGCGUAAUGAAAGUAAACGUAGGUGGGAACUCUUAAGAGUGCACCAUCGACCGAUCUGGAAGUUUUCGGAUGGAUUUGAGUAAGAGCAUAGCUGUUGGGACCCGAAAGAUGGUGAACUAUGCCUGAAUAGGGUGAAGCCAGAGGAAACUCUGGUGGAGGCUCGCAGCGGUUCUGACGUGCAAAUCGAUCGUCAAAUUUGGGUAUAGGGGCGAAAGACUAAUCGAACCAUCCAAAUAUGCGGCAACCUUUGGUUGUUCACAGACUAAAUGAUGGUAGCUGGAAGUUGAAUUUUUCAGUUAAGAAAUAGCCGGAACCUUCUCUGAAUGGAGAAAGGCCCUUUCUCUCUCUCAAAAGGGGGGGGGUGGGGCCUUUUGGAUCUUUGCUAGUAGCUGGUUC